ACCUCCAGCACUGGCAGAGGAUUUUACCUCACAAACAUGUUUAAGAGAAGCAGAUUUGGUCUCUCGAGUCACGUAUCUCUUCCUUCAGCUCUUCCUCCUACAUCCUCCUCCUCCUUCCUUGCUUCGGUCUUCUUGACUUUCCCCACCCCUUUCUGCCUGUCUUCACCGAGCUCGCUUUGAAGGGAGGAAAUGUGCACGUUUGCAGCAGCAGCAGCAGCAGCAUUGUUCUGGGGAUGAAGUGAUUCACUGCAUGGAGAAAGACAGAACUGAGCAGGAGCAGUUCUGCAUCACUUCCUCUCUCAUCAUCGGUGGCGUCUUCAUCUGGUUUGUGUCGUCUCUUCUCCUCCUGUCUUCUACCUGAACUUGUUGAUCAGUGUUCCCGUCAUGGAUCUCAUCACUGCCUUCAUCAUCUCAGCCGUUCUGUUCAUGACUGCUGAAACGCAACUACCAGCAGUUGAGGCAAACACUGAAGACAAUGUUACGCAUGCUUUGAUGACCAGCGUGAACCUCACGGAUUCUACUGCCCCCAGUGCUCUUCCCACCGUCCCCUCCAGCAGCCCUGAACCUGUCCUGGGUCUCCUCACUGUCAUUUGGACAAAGAGAUGUGAAGGAAACGUCAGCCUGAUCCUACAGCUACCCUCCAACAGCUCCUCCUUACCUGUGUGUCACAGUCAAAAAGAUAACCUGAAGAAAAUUCUGGAAAAAGUUUGUCGGGCCAUGAAAGAUUGUCAAGGUCGGCCAGAAUUUCACAGUAGUCCGAAAGUAGCGAAAGGUUUUAACAUCACUGAGAAGGGAUCGGCCAGAGAAGUUCUCUGUGAGACGCUGGUGGUCGGAUGCAGAGCAGCUGAGAUAAUACCAGAUGUACGAGGAGAGCUGAAGUCCUACAAAGUGGUGACAGGUUUGCUCUGCUGUGUGCUGCUGAUCCUGUUACUGAUCCGCUUCACUAAACCCACCGUCCAAGCCCUGCAGAGAAGAUUCUCAGACCGAAGACAAAACCGCUGGAUUGGACCGACACAGAGUCACAGUGUGUCUUACCAUCGAGGGAAAACUACAGUUAAAAACAGCGAUGGAGACAAGAGACUGUCCUAUCCUGCUCUGGAACUUCUGACCAUCAGUGGCAGCAGAGAAUUUUAAUCCAAGAGGAACAGUACUACAGCUUCAUCAUCAUCAUCGUCAUCAUCGUCAUCAUCGUCAUCAUCAUCAUCAUCGUCAUCAUCGUCAUCAUCAUCAUCAUCAUCAUCGUCAUGUAUAUGUGGGCUGAGCACAUAUUUUCAUUGUUGAUUGUUGAUUACACAGUGCCGUGCUAAAGUAUUUGACCCCUACAGAAGUCUUCUAUUUUUGCAUAUUUGUCACACUUUAGAUCAUCAAACUAAUUUUAAUGUGAGACAAAGUUAACCCAAGAACACUUGAAAGGCAGUUCUUAAAUGAUAUUUUUAUUUUUUGAAGGAAUAAUGCAGCGAAGCACGUUGUGCCCUAUGUGAAAACGUAAUUGCCCCCUUUAUCUACCAAUCUACCAAAUGACCAAAUUCAUUUGACACUUGGGUUCAGUUUAAUGCCACACUCACAUAUGAUCAAUGCCAGGCUGGUUGAAUCUAAUCUUCACUAAAUAGAACCUGUCUUCAUUGUGAAGCAACUGAAAGGUCUCAACAGCAGCUCAUGAUGUUCUAAAGAGAUUCCAGAACAGAUUACAAACAAAGUCAUUGACAUUCAUCAGUCUGGAAGGUUCCAAAGCCGUCGCUGAGGUUCUGGGACUCCAGAGAACCUCAGUGAGAGACAUUAUCCACAGAUGAGAACAUGGAACAAUGGAGAACCUUCCAGGAGUGGACCAACUGCCAACACGUCUCCAAGAGCACGUCAACGUCCAAUCCAGGAGGUCACAAAGAACCCAGACGAUCAUCUAAAGAUCUGCAGACCUCACUGGUCUCAGUUAAGGUCCGUCUACAUGAUUCCACAAUGAGGAAGACUCUGGGAGGAAAUGGAUCCAUGGAGAGAUGCAAGGAUCAAACCACUACUGACCAAAAAGAUCAUAGAGGGUCAUCUGGUAUUUACAAAUAAAAUAUCUAAAUGAGCUCCAAGACCUUUGGGAUAACAUCCUGUGAACUGACGGGUCAAAGGAGGAACUUUCUGAAAGACAUCUGGCAUAUCGCUAAUACUGAAUUCCACUAGAAGAACAUGAUACAAGCAGUGACCAUGGUGGCAGUGAGAUGGUUGGAGGACCUGGACGACUUGUCAUAAAUGAUGAAGCCGUGAGUUCUGCUCUCUAUCAGAAAAUCCUCCUGGAGAACAUCCACCAUCAGUUCAGAACCAAAACCACUAAUGGUUUAUGCAGCAACACAAUGACGACCCAAACUACACGAGCAAGUCCGCCUCUGAGUGGCUCAAAAAGAACAAAGUAAAGGUUCUGGAGUGGCCGAGUUAAAGUCUGGACUGGACUCCAAAUGAGAUGCUGUGACAAAAUCUUAAAAGUUCAGUUCAUGCUCGAAAACCAUCUAAUUAUUAUUAAAACUAUUCUGCAGAGAAGAGUGGACCAGAGUUCCUCCAUGCUGAUGUAACAGAUGAUCACAAGCUGGAGCAAAUGUUUACCUGCAGUUGUUGCUGCCGAGAGACCAACCAGUUAAAAGGUUCAGGGGGGCAAUUACUUUUUCAUAUGGAUGAUACAGAUAUUCAAUAAAUCUUCAAUAAGCCAUAAUUUAAAUUGACAUUUUGUGUUUUGUAGGUUAUCUCUGUACAAUAUUUAUUGAAUAUGAAUAUUAGUUUGAUGAUUUGAAACAUUUAAAUGUGACAAAUAUGCAAAAACAGAAGAUUUCUGUAAUUCAUUUGUUGCAUCACAUGACAUCUCUGUAGUCAAAAUUCAGAAUUUACCAACAAAGAACAGAAACUACAGGAGUUUCACAUUUCAACAUUUCAGCUUUGAUUUCCAUUUAUUCACAUCUGGAUCUGAUACACAACUUAGAAGACAGAAACUUCUGUUUAAAGCCACCCAUUUUUCAUGUGAGCAAAAGUAUUGGAACGUACUAGUCCUAUUAAACACAGGUGUGUUUAGCUGUCCAGGUGUGUCCUGUUACAUGGAUUAUUCAAACAAUAAAUGGAGCUCAGUGUCCAUGUUCAGCUUCAGAUUUCAGGUUUUUCUGUGCAGACUGCCUCUAUAGUUAGAGGAGGAACCAACAUGAAAACCAGAGAGCUGUCUAUGGGGGGAAACUAGCAGUUGUGAAGGUCCAAGUUAUUGAACAAACAUUGUCCAUAGCCAGUAGAACCAUUAGGACCGUCCUGAAGAAGACAGAAACCACUGGAGUUAAGUUGCUGACAGACUGCAUCAGGUAAACCAGGAUGCUCUGAUUCUCUAGUUCCUUCUACUUCCAGUCUUUUUGCUCAGCUCUGCUCCAGACAUGAGAUAUCUGUACAUAAAUAAACAGCAUCGUUAUUUCCCAACAUGUUGUAUCUUUAACCAGAGAGACGUUCAUUAUCCUGUCUGAGGAUUCAUUCAUUUCACUGAUGUUGUAAUAUAAUAAUGUUGCUUUAUUGUUCUUGUCAACCAUUUGUGAUUUCAGUAAAAUAAUCCAAAUAGUCAUCUUUGACCUGAUUUAUUCUCUUUCAAGCAGACAAAUGGAAAGUUUAGCUGAUUUUGAAGAAGACAGAAACACAAAGAGAGAGAGUAGGAGGAGCGGAUGAAGAUGAAGAUGGUUACGAAGUGCAAAGAUGUGGUUUCCUUUGCCGUUGACACCAGCUUCCUGUUUGUGUUAUUUCUGGUACAACCUGUACGUCAAUCUUCCUCUCUCCUUCUUUUCUCCUUCGUGCUCAUUCACAUCUUAUGCUUCUUUCAGCCUCCCUCUUAUUUUGGACUUCUGUUUUGUAUUUUCUGUUCCUUUUCUUUUUAUCUCCUGUCAUCUCCUGUUCAUCUUUGCACAAUAAUCACUGAUUGAAUUUGAACUAAAAGUUGUUUUCAGAAGGAAACGUUUGUAAAAAUGUUGGAGUGGACGAGGCUGACUCACACUUUUCUGACAACCCACUGAACACAGACUGGCUUCAAAGCAGGAAACAGGUUUAGAGCAUGCAGUGGGUUAAUAAAGACCUGCUCAGUAGUUCCAUAUUUUACUGUGAUAAGGAUUUUUAAUGGAUCAGUUUAUCAUUAUUGUCAUCAAUCUACACUCUGAUCUUCUUUUCAAAUUGAAUAAAAAUCAAAACCUUAAAUUUCUCAUUCAUGAAAGAAUAGAAGAGUGUGGUCAGCUGUGUCUGCCAUCCAUCCAUCAUCCAUCCAUCCAUCCAUCCAUCAUCCAUCCAUUCUGGAGUCUGUCCUAGCUGACUGAAGGCCGGGGACACCUGGACAGGUAACAGUCAGGGUUUGGUCACAUUCACACCAGUUUAGAAUCACCAGGUAACCUCAGCAUGUACCUGGACUGGAGUCGUGUUUCCUUUUCGUCUCGCUUGUGGUUUUUCUCCAUUUUUUUGUGGCUUUGUAGCUCCUUUGUGUCUCUUUUCUGUCUUUUUUGUUUAGUUUCGUGUUGUUUGUCUCAUUUUUGGCAAUUACUGUCUUGUUUUUGUCAUUUUGUGUCACAUUUUUGGAAUAUUUUGUCUUGUUUUUUCUUUUUUUGUAGACUUUCAUCUCAUGUUUUUGUCAUUUUGUUUCUCAUUUUUGAUGUUUUGUGUUUUUUGUAUCAUUUUUGUCAUUUUGUGCUUUGUUUUAUUCAUUGUUUUGUGUACUGUUUCUGUCAUGUUUUUUUUGUCGUUUUGCCGUUUUUCCAUUUAAUUGUCUCUUUGUAGCUUUUUGUUGAUUUUUUUGUCUCUUUUUGUCUUGUUUUGUGUUGUUUGUCUCAUUUUUUUGUCAUUUUGCGUAUCAUUUUUGUAAUAUUUUGUUUGUUUUUGUUGUUUUGUGUCUGACUUUUGGUGUUUGUCUCAUGUUUUUGUCAUUUUGUGUUUCCUUUGUGUCUCGCUUGUGCUUUUUCUCUUUUUUUUGUCAUGUUGUGUUUUGCUUUAUUCGUUGUUUUGCGUGCCGUUUUGUGUUGUUUUUAUUGUUUUUGUCGUUUGGCCAAGUUUUUUCUGCUUUGUAACUUCCUUGUCUAUUUUUUGUUUCAUUUUGUGUUGUUUGUCUCAUGUUUUUGUCAUUUUGUGUUUCCUUUGUGUCUCACUUGUGCUUUUUGUCUUUUUUUGUCAUUUUGUGUUUCCUUUGUGUCUUGCUUGUGUUUUUUGUCAUUUUUGUCGUGUUGUCUUUUGCUUUAUUCGUUGUUUUGCGUGCCAUUUUGUGUUUUUUUUUAUUGUUUUUGUUGUUUGGCCAUUUUUUUUUGCUGCUUUGUAACUUGCUUGUCUAAUUUUUUGUCUGUUUUUUGUUUUAUUUUGUGUUGUUUGUCUCAUUUUUUUGUCAUUUUGUGUCCCGUUCUUGCAUCGUCUUGUCUUGUCCAGUCCGGUGAUGUAAACGACGCUGAGCAGAUCGUUCUCUAAGUAUGAACUCUGAUCUGAACUAAUACCGCUAAAGGAACAAACAUGGGGGCAGGACAUUUGUGAGGCUGCUGUGAAAUGUUUCAAAGCUAACACUAUAUUAUCACUAUAACAGCAUCAUUUAAUAGGCUAUUGAAAGACUUAUUUUAUUGUUCAGCAGCUAUACGCUGCACUGUUUUCAGUUCUCUUCCCACAGUGUGUGUCUGUGUGUGAGUUCAUCUGCACAUGAGUGGGUGUAUUUUAGCUUAUCCUGCCUGCUCAGGUCAUGGUAUGAGAUGAUAAUCUGGCCUCGUUGCAAAUGUCCCAUCCUGAAAACAAUGACAGAUGACUGCAGAUUACAGCUGCAGAUUAGAGCAGGGGAUUGACAAUAGAGGACAGAUAUGGAAGGAGGGGGGGAAAGGAAGAGAUGAAUAUGGAGGAGAUGAAGACAAAAUGUGAGUAUGUGAGCAGAGAUCAGUAGAUUUUUAUAUCAGUCAGGGAUGUGAUGAGGAAUGUUCAGGAUACAAAAACAGCACAGCGAACAGACAGAGACUAAAAAUGUAAAUAAACUAUGAAUGAUCAGGCUCAAUGAAACCAGACACGUUUACAUUCAACUUUUACUCAUUUAUUAUUCCUACUAUAGUUUAACCCUCCUGUUGUCCUCGUUUACGGGCACCAAAAAUAUUGUUUCCUUGUCUGAAAAAAAUCCAAAAAUUCAGCAAAAAAAUUCCCCAAAUUUCAGAAUUUUUGCAAAAACCUUCAGGAAGAAAAUUCCAAUAAUUCCUUACAAAUUGUAUUUUAAAAAAUCCACCAAAUUUGGCAAGAAAAUUCUUGAAAUGUUUUCAAAAAAUAAGUAAAAAUCUUCCAAAAAAAUCCUAAAAAUGUCUAAAGUGAUUCUAGAUAUAUCAGUAAAACUUCUAAUAUUUUCUUAAGAACAUUCGCAUAAAAAUCCAGCAAAAUUCACUGGAUUUUAGUUGAUUUUUAUGUGAAUGUUCUUAACAAACAUUUUUAACAUUUCUUUUUUUCCCCAAAAAGAUGUUAAAAAUUUCCCAAAAACAUUGAAAAUGUCUACAUCAGAAGUUUUACUGUGAAUAUAUACUUUUUUCCUCCACAUUUUCCAACUUUAAAAGGGGUCAGUUUGACCCUCAGAACAACACGAGGGUUAAGGGAAGCUCAGUGAUUUUACACCUCUACGGUUCAGUGGUGAUGGAAGGAACAAUGCAUGCUGCCAUCUUUAGUGAAGUGAAUCUGUAGUCAGUCACGCUCAUGCAGGUAUCACCAGUAAUAAUAAAAUCUAAUUUUAUUCAUUAUCCACAGUGAUCCUGCAUCUCCAGCAGCUACAACUCCUGGAGCUUCUCAGUCAGCUUUGUCUGCAAACAUCUAGCCAGCUCCAGCUUCAGUCAGGAAGACAUCAGCCUGAUCCCUGCUCCUGCUUCCAGCUUUCAGACAGUUUUCCUGUCGACCAGCACUGAUCCUGCUCUUCAAGAUCCACAGGUGUUACCUUUAAUUAAAGCCUCUAAACCAGAAGUGUCCAACUCAUUCUAGUCCAGGUUCCACAUUCAGCCCAGUUUGAUCUCCAGUGGACCAGUUUUACUUUAUGAUCAAAACGACAAAAGUCAAUAAGAAAGACAAAAAAAACAAAAACAGACAAAAUAUUACAAAAUGAGACACAAAAAGACAAAAGAACAAAGAACAAUCUAGUAUUUUACUUUCUGAUCCAAACAACUUGUCAUGCUCUAGAAAUGAUUUUAAAUUUAUAGUUUUACUAAUUUACAAUCUGCAGUUAAUGUCUUCUCUGGAAUUUUUACACUCUGAUUGGACCCUCUGGAGGACCACUUUUGGCUUGUUCUGAUUGAACAAAACCUCUCCAGUACAUGAGCUGGAGAACACCUUCCUAAUUCUUGUCUUUGUCGAUGCCUCCUCUACUUCUGAACCUUUUUCUGAGUCUGAACUGAUUUGUUUUUCUCCCCUUCCUGUGCCUGGUCCCAAGUCUCCUUUACCUGGAUCUGCCAUCCACACCAGGUCCAUGCUUCUGCACUGGUCAACUGAUGUCAAGCCAAGACUCUGCCACAGUUGAUCGACACCAAGACGUGUCCUGGGUCUGAGUGGCCUGAAAAAGACCUUUUUUUAGGGAACAGAAAUGGGUUAACAACUUAAAGCUGUUCUGCAACAAUGGAGGUUGACGAAGUCUUAAAAGUUGGAGCUACUAAAUUCUACUGGAGUCCCAACUUUUCUACAGAGAAGAAGAAAGUCCAGUUGUCAGUGAGUCCAGUUUUCUUCUCCACCAAAAUGAUCAGAAACUGGAGGAAACUCUGACAGGAAGAGGUCUGGAAGACACAAAGAAGACCAGUUUGUGAGAGACAACAGCUUAGAUAGGAGCUCCCAUUACAACAGCUAGAAUCAGCUUCAUGGAGGUCGUAGGAAGAAGUCUCAGUUUAACUGUGGGGAGAAGACUUGGAGCUGCAGGUUUGACAGGUGGAACUGCAGCAGAAAGCCGUUGUUAAGACGUCAGAAUCAGAAAAAGAGUCUGGUCUGGACCAUGAAACACCACCAAUGGACUACUGAGGACUGGAAGAAGGUCUGAUGGACUGAUGGAUGUAAACCUGAAAUCUUUGGUUCAUCAGCAGGAUUUUUGUAGCCGUUCAGUAGGAGAAAGGACAGUUCCUCAGUGGAACAUCUACUGUCCAACAUGAAGGAGGAAGUGUGAUGGUCUGGGGCUGUUCUGCUGGAUCCAAGGUCAGUUCUUGUACAGAGUGAGAGGAACCCUGAAUCUAAACGUCUACCACAGCAUUCUGCAGCUCCAUGCAGAACCCUCUGGUAUGUUCUAGUUGGUCAGGGGUUCAUCCUACAGCAGAUUCUACCAUUCCUGUCAAAAAUACUGGAGCGCUCAGUAUUUAACCAAGUCUCUGAAUAUCUGCGGAACAACAACCAACUUGACCCUUUUCAGUCAGGCUUCAGGUGCGACCACUCCACUAAGACUGCACUCCUAUCAGUCACAGAAUCACUGCGGCUGGCGAGAGCUGCUGGUCAGUCCUCUGUCCUACUGCUGCUAGACUUGUCUGCUGCCUUUGACACCGUGAACCAUCAAAUCCUCCUCUCCACACUCUCUGAGCUCGGCAUCUCAGGUUCUGUCCUGUUGUGGUUCAAGUCCUACCUCACAGGCAGAUCCUUCAGAGUGUCAUGGUGAGGGGAGGUGUCAAGGUCACACGACCUAUCAACAGGCGUCCCUCAGGGGUCAGUGCUUGGUCCCUUACUCUUCUCUCUGUACACCACCUCACUUGGUGCAGUGAUCCGCUCCCAUGGCUUCUCCUACCACUGUUAUGCUGAUGACACUCAGCUUUUCCUCUCUUUUCCACCUGACGACACAACAGUUUCAGCUCGGAUAUCAGCAUGUCUGGCUGAUAUCUCCACAUGGAUGAAGGAACGGCACCUUCAGCUGAAUCUGUCUAAGACUGAACUCAUGGUCUUUCCAGCUUGUCCAUCUGUUCAGCCUCAGAUCAGUGUCUGACUUCACUCGAGCCUACUUGUGCCAAAAAAACUCAGCCAGAAACCUGGGUGUCAUGACUGAUGACCAGCUGACCUUUAAGGUUCACGUGGCCUCAGUUUCUCGAUCUUGUCGUUAUGCCCUCUACAACAUCAGGAAGAUCAGACCCUUCCCUGUAGACCUGGAUUCCCUGAUCCAGGUCUACUCCCCUUCACGCCCACUUCGCUCUGCAUGUGAGAGACGCCUGGGGCAUCCAGCCCAGCACGGCUCGAUAUCUCUAACCAGACUCUUCUCCUCUGUUGUUCCCAAAUGGUGGAACAAACUACCAAACUCUGCUGAGUCCCUUUCUACUUUUAAGAGACAAUUGAAGACUCAAUUGUUCAGAGAACACCUAGGCACUUAUUCCGACUCCACCUUAGGGGUAGAAUAAGUCAGGUGGUCCAAAACCCAGCACUUAUUUAGUUGGCACUACUUCUGCAACUUGAUGGCAACACCUUUGACCAAUCGGACUUGAAGCACUUUUGCACUUACUACAGGUUUUUCCUUAUGUCUGAAUUCUUGCUUUUGUUGUACGUCGCUUUGGACAAAAGCGUCUGCUAAAUGAAAUUGUAGAAUUGUAGAAUUGUAGAUAAUGACCCAGAACAUCAGUCCAAGCUCUGCCAGAACUACCUUAGGAACAAAGAACCAGAUGGUUUCGAACAUGGAGUCUCCACACUUAAACCCAUGGAGCUGGUUUGGAUGAACUGGACAGAAGAUUGAAAGCAAAGAACCUAAAGAACCACACAUGUAUGAGAACUUCUGCUACAGAGUUGGAAGAACUUUAUGAAGAAUAUUUGGUUUCUAUUGAGGAAAGAAUGCCACCAGUGUGUUCUGUGCUUUCAUUUCAGAGAACAAUGAGAUGUUAACAUGCAGAAUUUACAAUAAAAACCUGGAAAAAGUGAGCUGGUCUAAAGCUUUUGACCGGUAGAGUUCAUGUGCUUCAAUAAAGUUAAUGGAAUCAGAAGUUAUGUAAUUCAAAAAUGAAAACUGCUGAUUGAUUGUAUAUGCAUGCGGUGGAAGGAGGUGAAGGCCUGUUUAGUGAAAUGCUCAUAUGCUGAUGUUUUUCAUUUUUUCUCCUUCCUCUGUUAAUCUCUACUCUCAGUCACAUCCAUCGUCCUCUAAGCCCCUUCUGCUGCUCUGUUACUAUUCCAGUCCUGUCCCAUGACCAGCCUCUCUCUCUCUAUCUGCUGUAGCAGAAGGAUGAUUGGAGGAAGAUACAUACCCUAAUGAGCCACAACACUAAAGCCACCAGAUUAGUAUUAUGUAGGACCUUCUUGGAGAUCAUUAGAGUCUCAUUCAGGCCGAGAUCAAAACCUUGGAAUCAGUUUUUAAUGUUCCUCAAACCAUCCCUGAGCAAUGUUUACAACAUGGCAGGUCACACAGUCAUCAGGGAAUACUGUUUCCAGGAAGCAUGUAAACGGUCAGCACCGGUGUACAGCUAUGGCCAUAAGUUUGGACACAGCAUGACUUACUGUGUCUGUUUUGAUGUCUAUUACAGAACAUAACUAAUAUUUUUUGACAGCACCAGUUUAAUUAGUCAACAAAUCAACAAGGGAUAUAAUAUUAUCAAUAAAUUCCAACAACUGGAACAACUUUGUUCCCAAAACAUAAUAUAGAAGAAAAUAACAAAAAAAUGCAGUACUUUCACAACCGAAUUUGGUAAGAAUAACAAAAUGACACCAAACUCUUUUGAUGUUUUUUUAAAUAUGAAACUUAAUAUAGUUCUCAGGAGUUGUGUACUGUAUUGUAAGUGACAAUUUUGUGGUAUUUUCUAAGAUUCACAAGCGUCAUGGUACUUGUGUCCAAACUUAUGGCCAUGGCUGUAGUGAAACGGUGCAUAUGGCCAAAUGGACCUUCAUGGAGCUGGGAGACCUGCUAACUCAUUACCCAGUGUGAGGUUGGAGGUUAAAACAGGGACUCUGCUGCUUUUGAACUCUCCUGGUGAUAAUAAUUCAUGUUAGACUUCAGAUCUGUGUAUUUCUGUUUGAUUAGAGUAAUCUAUGUAGGUUUUGUUUUACCGAUAUUGUCUUUGUCAGUGCAGUUUAGACUAAAUGAGGAAAACCUUCCAGUAGAAGCUCCUUUGGUUCUGUUUAUUUCUUUUUAAUUGAGGAGCACCGUCUGCUCUCAGUCCCUCCCUUCGGUCUGGUGAAUAUUAUGUUAAAUCGCUGCUUUUCUGCUUCAAACAGCAUCCAGCAGCGGUCUUGUUGCUGCUCUAGCUCUUCCUGGGUUUGUGGGCUUGUCUUGCCUGAAUCCAGAGUUGGUCGGUUGGUUGAUAGAUUGACGGGUAGGUUUUGUGACCAGACCACGGCAGCUAUCUUUGAUUUGGAGCAGUUUGUGGCCAGUCUCUACCUCUAGAUAACGGAGUGCUGUUUACUGCAGAUCACAACCCACUCUGAGAGCAAACUGUUAAACACAAGCUCAGAGCUCUAGUGAGAUCAUGGAAGUGAAGGUGCUAGGUUUGUCUGUGCCUCCCGUCUCCAGCCAUAAGGGUGAGAGAACCCCUCACACUUCUCCAGGUGCUGCUGUAGAUCUAAGUGGAGGUCAACCUUCUUCAUUUUGAUCCACAUUAUCCUCCUAUUUCUGAGUCUCAAGAUAAGGCUCGGCUGAAAGUCCGCCCAGCUUGAAGCCCAAGACAAAGCACAAGCUAGACGUUCAGCUGGACCUUGAGAUUAAAAUGUUGGAGAUUAAAGCUGAAGCAGUUGUGUGUAUCAUGGAGGUGGAAUCCCAGGCUGCAAACGAAGUGGCAAAGCCCAAGAGGUUGCACCCAUGCUUCUUUUUGAGACAGUCCUAGAUUAUAUCAUGAAGAACGCUGCUAGACUGCAAACUUAUAAACUGGUGCCUGAAGCUUCCCAACAAAUAAUCAGAAAUCAGAAAGUCUCCUUGCCAGAGAAAAGUAAACUCUAUUUGAUAAAUGUCGAGCAGCUUCCAGAGUUGAUGGUUUUGAUUCCCUGCAGGAGCUACGACUGUGAGAUGUUCAUCAGAGCAUGUUGUUGUUUAUCUGAAUGAACAGAACGUGAUUUCACUUUCCUCUGCUGCUACACUGGCUGAUGAGUACGUUUUAACACCCAAACCAUCCUUUGUUGUGUUAAUGGUAGGUUCUGUGGUAAUCCUGUACAGCCAUGUCCUCGUUAAGCCCAUUAGCCCAAGGGAGGAGAGUUGUGAGUGCUUUUAUUGUUAGAAAUCUGGACAUCACUGCAGACUGUGUGAUGCUGAAGUGUAAAGUCCAGCAGAAUCUACAGCAGCUGAAAGGCGUGGGAUUGAUCCAAGCAUCGCCCUGCUGCCACUUCUGUUAGUGAUGAUUAGACAUUUGAAAAGAUGACAAUUUAAUUCAACUCCAUUUUAUUUAUAUAGCGACAAUUCACAGCAUUUGUCAUCUCAUAGCACCUAACACAGUAACUUGAAGACCUUACAAAUUCCGAACAGAGAAAGGAGAACCCAACUAUCCAAAGUUUCCUUUGGAUUCUCUAUAAGCAAAGAAAACCCUCUGAUGAGCUCCCACCAUCACCGGCAUGCUCUGGUCUCUGCCCUCUAAGUUAUAUCCAGCAUGUGUAGUCACCCGUACCCAGUUGAGCAAAAAUGUAAAUACAGCCAUGGCCAUAAGUUUGGACACAGCAUGACUUCCUAUGUCUGUUUUGAUGUCUAUUACAGAACAUAACUAAUAUUUUUUGACAGCACCAGUUUAAUUAGUCAACAAAUCAACAAGGGAUAUAAUAUUAUCAAUAAAUUCCAACAAUUGGAACAACUUUGUUCCCAAAACAUAAUAUUAGAAGAAAAUAACAAAAAAAUGCAGUAAUUUCACAACCGAAUUUGGUAAGAAUAACAAAAUGACACCAAACUCUUUUGAUGUCCAAACUUAUGGCCAUGGCUGUAUUUCUUUGUCUGAAACUGUAUUCAUGUCAGCUCUUUCAGAUGAAGAGUUCUUCCUUAUCUCACUCCAAACCAGUGAAGCUGGAGCAACCUGCUGUGGAGUCUCUGUCUUAUAACCUGCGAUCAGCUCAUCUGAAAAGGUCAUCUGACCUAAGCAGCACUGCAUCAUCUCCAUCUUAGUCAGAUGGUCCUACCACAGCCUGGAGGUGUGUUUGGGCUCAUUGUAAAUGAUGGUCCAACUAAACCAAACUGAUGAGAUGUCAUGUGGCUGUAGGAUGCUGUGGUAGCCAUGCUGGUUCAGGGUUCCUUCAGUUUGGAAUAAAUCCCCAACAUAGACCAUCAUACCUCCUCCUCCAUGCUUCAUGGUGGAACCAUGCAUGUAGAGACCAUCACACCUCCUCUUGUAUGCUUCACGGUGGAACCAUGCAUGUAGAGACCAUCACACCUCCUCUUGUAUGCUUCACGGUGGAACCAUGCAUGUAGAGACCAUCACACCUCCUCCUGCAUGCUUCACAGUGGAACCAUCCAUGUAGAGACCAUCACACCUCCUCUUGUAUGCUUCACGGUGGGAACCAUGCAUGUAGAGACCAUCAUACCUCCUCCUCCAUGCUUCAUGGGUAGUUCCUACAUGGUUUCUUGAGGAUUCAUUCAAAGUUCUUGAAGUGUUCCUGAUGGACUAACCUUCAUGUGUUAAAGUAAUGAUGGACUUCCUUGUAGAUAUUUGGCACAUCUCCUAAUCAUUGACAAAGUAUUUCCAAUUUUAGUUACAAUAUUUAGUACUAAGGGAAAAUCAUUUGUGAAAACAGAAUAUAAAAGAGGCCCAAGGCAACUUCCUUGAGGCACUCCAUGUUUCACAGAUUUAAGGUCUGAUUCACUUCCAUUAAAGCAAACCAUUUGUUGUCUCUUGGUCAGUAACUGUUGACUGUUAAUAGAGCAGAAGAAGAAAAUCCAUUGCAUUUUGAUUUUUCCAUUAAUAACUCAAGAUCAAGAAUAUCGAAAACUGCCGAAAAGUCUUCAAAAAAUGGCUCCAAUCAUCUUCUUUUAUUCAAAAUUAUUAUACCAAUCAUCAACCAUUUGAGUUAGGGCUGUUGGCAUGGAGUAUUUUUCUCUAUAAGCAUGCUGGAAGUCAGUAAAUAAAUUAUUACUUGAAAAGUACAACUGAAUUUGUUCAUACACAAUCCUCUCCAUUACUUUACUCAGUAUUGGUAAUAAAUUUAUUGGCCGGCUGUUAGAUUCAGAGAAAUGUGACUUGUUGUUUUUUGGUAUUGAUACAAUUUUUGCAACUUUUCACAUGGUUGUGGUCACUUAUUUUUGGUAAAACAUAAAUGAACUAUGUGAGUGAUCACUGGAGCAACAAUAGCAGCCUUCCAUCAAGAAAAUCAACCCCUGGUGGCUUAUUCUUACCAGUCAUUAACAUCAGCUCUACUCUAGAUACCGUAACAUUCUUAAAAUUAAAAACACAUUCUUUACUCUCCAUAGCCUGAUUUAUGAAACUCAGAGCUAGAUCAGUGUUAUUGUUCUGUACAGUACUCUUCAGCUUAUCAAUUUUGUUGGUAAAGUAAUUAUUUAAAUGAUUUGCAAUAUCUUUUGAUGUAGUAAGAAAGCCACCUUCAGUUUCUAAGUAAGAUGGUGUGGAUUUAAUUUUGCCUUUUACCAAAUGAUUUAAAAUACUCCAUAAUCUUUUACUAUCGUGUUUAGUUUCAUGAAUAAUGUUGUCAUAGUACAGUUUUUUCUUUCUCCUAUUUAGUUUUGUAACAAAAUUUCUUAAUUUACAGCAGACUUGCCAAUCUGAUUGAAUUCCUGAUGAUAAAGCAAUCUGUUUUGCUUGCUCUCUUUCCAUAAUAUGUCCUUUCAGUUCUUUGUCCAGCCAUGCGGCAGUAAUAGUUCUAACUGUAAACUUUCUCACAGGUGCAUGAUGAUCUAUAACAUUUGUUAACGUUUCAUCAAAAGCCCAGAGAGCGAUCUCUGGAUCAUCAAACAACAAAACAUCAGACAACUUAGCAUUUGAGAUGUCUCUUACAUACUUUUCUUGAUCAAAAAUUUUAAAAGAUCUCUUCUUAAUUAUUUUAGAUCCUCCCUUAGGUACUUUUGUUUUUCUAACAGUUGUAAUUAGAUUAUGGUCACUGCAUCCUACAGGUACAGAUAAAGCUUUGGAGCAGACUCCUGGCAUGUUCAAAUACAGAUGAUGUCGUUAAAUGGGGGAAUAUUUUCAGUCUCAUUCCUUUGUGUUCUAAAACUCUUUCUUUUGCUAUUUUCAAGAUAGCCUCCUUAGCCAUAAAACGCUGCAUACUAACAAUCAUCGGCCUUGAACCGGGGCUUUUACUCACAGUCCUGUGGGCCAUUUCUACGUCUGGUUGACAUGGGAGCAUCUUCUGUCCUUUAAAAACUUCCUUCAGGAGCUCAGACAUGUAUUCCAUUGCAUUAUUCCCUUUCACUCCCGCGUUAAGUCCAUAAACUCUUAUAUUAAAUCUUCGGCUGUAACCCUCUAAUCUGUCCGUUUUCUCUUUCAGCUCUUUAUUUUCUUGCUGAAGCACGCUGCACACCUUCCGAAGCUCACCACACUCAUCCUCCAGUUUAUUUAUCUGGUCCAAUUGUCCCGACAGCGCUGUCUCCAAACCAGUCACUUUUUCAACACACUGUUUAACAUCCAGCUUAAUGGAGUCCAGUUGUGGCAGCAGCUCUUUCAUGUGCUCUUUCAGCUCCUCUCUUAUAAUUGAGCGGAUUAGUGCAGACAGUUCAUCUCUAUCCAUCUCUUCUACCGGCACCUGUGUCGCAGGUAAAACAGGUGUGUCCGUUACAGGUGGUACGGAGACUGUAAGUUAAUUUAAGACGCUCAAUAAGGUCAACAAUCGUUUCUGGAUCUUAUUUCCAAAGGAUAUCUAUAACAAAGGUAGAAAACCUCUAAUAUAAACCAUAAUUCUCUCAGAGCUCUAGGCUCUCUCACAGAGCAAUCGCCUCACGUGCCACCGGACAUGACGUGUGAAGUCAUUUCCUGGGUAGUUCCUAGAUGGUUCCUUGAGGAUUCAUUGAAAGUUCUUAAAAUUUUCCAGACUGACUGAUCUUCAGUUCUUAAAGUAAUGAUGGACUGUUGUUUCUCUUAGCUGAUUGGUUCUUGCCAUAAUAUGGAUUCUAACAGUUGUCAAAUAGGGCUGUCAACUGUGGACCAACCUGACUUCUGCACAACACAACUGAUGGUCCCAACCCCAUUAAGAAGGAAGAAAUUCCACAAAUGAACCUUGACAAGGAACACCUGUGAAGUGAAACCAUUUCAGGUUCUACCUCAUGAAGCUCAUCCAGAGAAAGCCAAGGGUUUGCAAAGCAGCAAUCAAAGCAAAGAAUCUAAAAUAUAAAACAUGUUUAGAGUUAUUUCACAAUUGUUUGUUUCCUACAUAAUUCCAUAUAUCUUGCUUCAUAGUUUUGAUGUAUUCAGUCUUUAUCUACAAUGUAGAAAGUUGUAAAAAUAAAAAUAAAUCACUGAAUGAGAA